rnacentral:rRNA from 1 species
UACGUAGGGGGCAAGCGUUGUCCGGAAUCAUUGGGCGUAAAGAGCGCGUAGGCGGCCCGAUAAGUCCGCUGUGAAAGUCCAGGGCUUAACCCUUGAAUGCCGGUGGAUACUGUCGGGCUAGAGUCCGGAAGAGGCGAGUGGAAUUCCUGGUGUAGCGGUGAAAUGCGUAGAUAUCUGCAGGAACACCCGUGGCGAAAGCGGCGCGCUGGACCACUACUGACGCUGAGGAACGAAAGCUAGGGGAGCAAACAGG